rnacentral:rRNA from 1 species
UGGGGGAUAUUGCACAAUGGGCGAAAGCCUGAUGCAGCGACGCCGCGUGGGGGAUGAAGGCUUUCGGGUUGUAAACCUCUUUCGCUAUCGAACAAGGCCCGCUUAGGGUGGGUUGAGGGUAGGUGGAGAAGAAGCGCCGGCUAACUACGUGCCAGCAGCCGCGGUAAUACGUAGGGCGCGAGCUUUGUCCGGAAUUAUUGGGCGUAAAGGGCUUGUAGGCGGCUUGUUGCGCCUGCUGUGAAAACGCGGGGCUUAACUUCGCGCGUGCAGUGGGUACGGGCAGGCUUGAGUGUGGUAGGGGUGACUGGAAUUCCAGGUGUAGCGGUGGAAUGCGCAGAUAUCUGGAGGAACACCGAUGGCGAAGGCAGGUCACUGGGCCAUUACUGACGCUGAGGAGCGAAAGCAUGGGUAGCGAACAGG